GAUGAACGCUGGCGGCGUGCCUAAUACAUGCAAGUCGAGCGAACAGAUCAGGAGCUUGCUCCUUUGACGUGGGCGGCGGACGGGUGAGUAACACGUGGAUAACCUACCUAUAAGACUGGGAUAACUUCGGGAAACCGGAGCUAAUACCGGAGAAUAUUUCGCACCGCAUGGUUGGAUAGUGAAAGAUGGUGGUGCUGUCACUUAUAGAUGGACCCGCGCCGUAUUAGGUGGUUGGUAAGUUAAUGGCUUACCAAGGCGACGAGACGUAGCCGACCGGAGAGGGUGAUCGCCGACAUGAGAGGGGAGCCGCGCUCCAGGCGACUACGGGAGGCCGCAGUAGCGAACCUGACGCAGUGGGCGAAAGCAUGACGGAGUAGCGCCGCGUCAGUGAUGACGGUCUUCGGUUCGUGAAACUCUGUUACUAGGGAAGAACAUACGUGUAAGUAGCUGAGGACGGCUUGACGGUACCUGAUAAGAAAGCAACGGCUAACUACGUG
rnacentral:rRNA from 1 species